GUCGUAACAAGGUUUCCGUAGGUGAACCUGCGGAAGGAUCAUUAAAGAGUAAGGGUGCUCAGCGCCCGACCUCCAACCCUUUGUUGUUAAAACUACCUUGUUGCUUUGGCGGGACCGCUCGGUCUCGAGCCGCUGGGGAUUCGUCCCAGGCGAGCGCCCGCCAGAGUUAAACCAAACUCUUGUUAUUUAACCGGUCGUCUGAGUUAAAAUUUUGAAUAAAUCAAAACUUUCAACAACGGAUCUCUUGGUUCUCGCAUCGAUGAAGAACGCAGCGAAAUGCGAUAAGUAAUGUGAAUUGCAGAAUUCAGUGAAUCAUCGAAUCUUUGAACGCACAUUGCGCCCCUUGGUAUUCCGAGGGGCAUGCCUGUUCGAGCGUCAUUACACCACUCAAGCUAUGCUUGGUAUUGGGCGUCGUCCUUAGUUGGGCGCGCCUUAAAGACCUCGGCGAGGCCACUCCGGCUUUAGGCGUAGUAGAAUUUAUUCGAACGUCUGUCAAAGGAGAGGAACUCUGCCGACUGAAACCUUUAUUUUUCUAGGUUGACCUCGGAUCAGGUAGGGAUACCCGCUGAACUUAA
rnacentral:rRNA from 1 species